GCUUCACCCCGAUGGAGGACAGACUCAGGCGCACAACGAGGUCCAGCAACUGAAGGCAUCGGUUAAGAACUACGAGGGGAUGAUCGACAACUAUGAGAAUCAAGUGAUGAAGACCAGGUUGGAGGCUGAUGAAGUGGCUACCCACCUGGAGCGCUGCGGCAAAGAGAACCAGAUCCUUAAAGAUGAGAUGAACAAAGAGAUUGAAGCGGCACGGAGGCAGUUCCAGUCCCAGCUGGCUGACCUGCAGCAGCUGCCUGACAUCCUCAAGAUCACAGAGGCCAAGCUGGCAGAGUGUCA